rnacentral:rRNA from 1 species
UACAGAGGGGGCAAGCGUUGUUCGGAAUUACUGGGCGUAAAGGGCGCGUAGGCGGCCUGUUAAGUCGAACGUGAAAUCCCCGGGCUCAACCCGGGAACUGCGUCCGAUACUGGCAGGCUUGAAUCCGGGAGAGGGAUGUGGAAUUCCAGGUGUAGCGGUGAAAUGCGUAGAUAUCUGGAGGAACACCGGUGGCGAAGGCGGCAUCCUGGACCGGUAUUGACGCUGAGGCGCGAAAGCCAGGGGAGCAAGCGGG